AAAUCUGCCUCCAAAUCUGGAAUAGCUCUGCCAACGCGGAAUUAAUGCCGGAUGUGGUUACCAAGUCGCAUGGCGUGGUAACUAAAGGUGACCUCUUCUUUGAAAGUUACCGUUUGGAGAUGAUCUUGCGGCCCAUUAGCUUGUUGGUGAGGUAACGGCCCACCAAGGCUACGAUGGGUAGCCGGCCUGAGAGGGUGAUCGGCCACAUUGGGACUGAGAUACGGCCCAG
rnacentral:rRNA from 1 species